UACGAAGGGGCUAGCGUUGCUCGGAAUCACUGGGCGUAAAGGGUGCGUAGGCGGGUUUUUAAGUCAGAGGUGAAAUCCUGGAGCUCAACUCCAGAACUGCCUUUGAUACUGAAAGUCUUGAGUAUGGGAGAGGUGAGUGGAACUGCGAGUGUAGAGGUGAAAUUCGUAGAUAUUCGCAAGAACACCAGUGGCGAAGGCGGCUCACUGGCCCAUAACUGACGCUGAGGCACGAAAGCGUGGGGAGCAACAGG
rnacentral:rRNA from 1 species